GAUUUCUGGUUUGUCAGGCUUCGGUUCUGAGUGUUGGUGUGUACUCUCCAUCCUUCUAGAGAGCUGUGCGUACCGUUAACUCGGCCGCGCGCAUGCGAUCUAGAUCUUUUACUUUGAAAAAAUUAGAGUGUUUAAAGCAGGCUUACGCUGUGAAUACAUUAGCAUGGAAUAAUAAUAUAGGACUUUGUUUCUAUUUUGUUGGUUUCUAGGAAUGAAGUAAUGAUUGAUAGGGAUAGUUGGGGGUGCUAGUAUUCAGCGGCCAGAGGUGAAAUUCUUGGAUUCGCUGAAGACUAACUACUGCGAAAGCAUU
rnacentral:rRNA from 1 species